rnacentral:lncRNA from 1 species
UUUUAUUUUCUUUUAAUUCCUUUUUAUUUCAAAAAAUUCAUAUCUAUUUUAUUUGAAGUCACAAAAAUAUGAGACUAAUGGCAAAAAUUUUCUUUAAAAAUCUAGUUUCAUAAUCUUAUUUUAAAUUAUUUUUGUGACUUCAUUUAAUAUUUUUUUGUGAAUUAUUUUGUUUUUAAUAGUUUUUAAUUCAUUUUAAUACUUUUUGAUAUCUGAAAAUUCCAAAAACAUUUUCUUAACACAUAUGGAUCAUGAUAAGUC